UUUUACCUCAAAUUUCGAGGUUUACAAUUUGUUUUUGAACACUGUAGUUUGCAUUUUUACUUUUGCCUGUUCGUGAUCUCUACAACCUUUGAGAAAUUUGAUAUGUUUUUUUCUUACCAAAGCGUCAAAUUAUUCUGAUCUUUCUCGGUUUCUCUAGUCGUUUGCAAAUUGUAUUCGAGCAUUCCUUCCAUCGUACUGACGUUCCUAUAGGGUAUCAUUUACUGAUAUGAAUUUAAAAAAAAAAUCAUAGAAUCGUGUUUUCUUAAGCAACUAACAUUGAUUGAAGGGAAAGCUGGUUGGAUCUGAGGGGACUAAUAUUUUGUAUCGGUGCUUACUGCAUUGCUUUUGUUUCUUAGGUCAUUCCAGUAAGACUGCCCUCAUUCGUAAGCAGAUUCGGGCCUAAUCAGGCAUUGGGGCCACCGCCAAAGUCACCGGGGCUUCAAAGUUGAAAGACAUAUAGGUAAGCUUAUUUGCAUACCAUUACAAGCCUGGUUGUAACUCUAUAUGAGGCUCUACCUUCCACACUAGUCACCGAUAUAAGGAUAGUAUGAGCCCUUCAGCCAAGGGCACCUCUGAUUUCUCACACGACCAUGAAUAGACACGUGGGCUAUAGUAUGCCCACUUCUGCAGAUUGCCACGUGAAAUCAUCAGUAUGCACAUGUUACACAUGUCUCAUAUUCAGUUGAUGGUGGUGCAUUGAAAACUUCCCAUAUGUCCUGUUAAUAUCCCUAUUUAUUACUAGUUAAAACUUGUGUAAAGAGGCAAAGAGCAGUGGUAGAACAAGAUGGUUGGGUUGGUUGGAUCGAUUAGAUUAAGAAUUUAUUAAUAUAUUAGUUUGAAUAAAGGGAUUGAAUCAGUUUUUGAGUGAAUCGUUUAAAACUAGUAAAAAAUUAGAAAUAAGACAAAAAUUGAUGAUUGAACCUGUUUAUAAAUUAUUAAAAUAUUUUUAUAAAUUUUAAAUUGUUUAUUUAAUUAUUAUUGGAUCGAUAGUCGAAUUGAUUGCAAUGAGAAUCAAUAGUCUAAUCAAUUUGAUCAUCGACCCGAUUUUUAAAAUAUUGUCAAAAGUUUUUAGAGGUGAGUUUGAAAUGAUACAAUUUAAUUUUCCAUGUUAUACCUUAUUCUAAAUAACUAAUAACAAUAAAAAGUUUAGUUAGUUAAUGUGAUGUUUUUUCUAAAAGAAAAGGUAAAAUUAUGAUUAUCAAAAUCAUCAUUAUUUACUAAUUUUUCAUUUUAAGAAAAAAACCCAGGAUUCGAUCCUUUAAAAGAAAUUUAUACAUCAAAACAUUAAUGAAAAUUUCUAAAAGUGUUAAUGAUUUGUACUGAGAUAUAAGAAUAGGAACAAUUAAAUCAAAUUAAAGUUAAGAAUUAAUUGGAUAAAGAUGGCUGAGUUGAUUAAAUAUUUAAUAAAAAAACAAGGAAGUGCUUAUAUUGGGGAAUUUUUUCCCAUUAAUAUAUUUUUAUUAUAAUUGAUAAUAUACAUACAUAUUUUAAAGAAAAUUUAACAGUUACUAGCUGCAAAAAUAACAAGAAGUUAAUAAUUAUAGUAUAAGUUCAGGUGAAAUAUGAGAUGAUUGUAGAAACCCCAGAUGAAAAAUAGCAGGGUUUUGUUAGGGAGCAGAAAAGUUGUGGUUGCUGCAUUGGUGGAUGGGCUUCUUUCCCAAAUUUAUAACUUAAGGGCACAUGUUUUAAGAAGGACAGCUGGAUUGUUUCCAAAAUCUGGCAGGGAGUCCUUGUUGAGGGACUGGGAAUGGGCCAUAUUGGAUCCCACUUUCAGAACCCACCACCUCCCACCUGCAAAAAAAAGAUAACCACACGCCCAAUUAGAAAGGGACUAGUCUAAAUUCUUUUAGCACUACAAAAUCUUUUGCAACUAAACAUAAACUUCUUGAUUAGGUUAGAAAUGGCAAUGGAUACUAAAUGAAAUAGAUUUCCGUAUUUGGUCUGUUCUUUUGUGAAUUCAGAUAGAAUAUUAAAUUUACUAUUUGCAGUGGGUUUGAAUAUCUAUUAUUUUAUUGCUUUAAUUUUUGUAUUUCGGAUAUUCAAAUAUGUUAUCUUCAUCUACUUCAUUUUGCAUAUAUCCAAAUUCAAUAUAUCUUCACAUAUCUAGCUAUUAUUUAAAUUUAUUUCUUUAGUCUUUUAAAAAAAAAAUUUAAGUGAAUUUCUGCAAACAAUCCUUCUCCCUUAUUUUGUAACACUAGAAUUCAUAGUGAAAUAUACCUGAAUUUUGUUACUAGAUGAUGGAUCAAAAUGAGAGCCUCCAGCUUGGCUAGCUCGUUGCCUGGACAAGCAUGAACACCGUUGCCAAACGGCAUGAAGGUAUUUGGUUUUGGAGCUACCUGCUUAAAUCCAUUUCCAGAAAAGCAAAAAUAGUAAGUUCCGAUUGUGCUGCUUGUAUGUGUACAUAUGUCUAUUUGUCAGUGUAGUAAAACUGGUAGAAAAUUGCUAUAAUCUUCAUAAGCAAAACAGUAACCACCUCAAAUCUAGAUGGAUCAAAAUCAUGAGGAUCAGAAAAGAAUUCUGGAUUAUGAUGAAUAUUCCUGAACAAUGGCAUCACUUUCCAACCCUUGGGUAUUAGGUAUCCUGUACAUUUAAAAGUUGAAACAACAGUAAUUAAUUAAAACCCCUUUAAACCAAAUAAAUAUAAAAGAAUAUUCCAGUUAAGCCUUUAAUUUAUUUACCCUUAUACUCCACAUCAACUACUGCUUCCCUGAAUGUGAAAGAUAUGAUGCUUGCCAUCCUCAAACCCUCUAGUAAAACCUGAAAUUUCCCAAAAGAUUAGAGGUUUCUUGAAAAUUUUCUUUUCUUGAAACAAACAUUUAUGACUUUGAAACACAGUCCAUACCCUAUAUGUAAGAGUCAUUUUCCUUGUCUGUGCCCAUGUUAGACGCUCCUUCCCUCCAUUGUUCGACUCAUAUAUCGCCUUUUGCUCUGCCUGCAAUGAUUUUGAGAACCAUGAAGUGAGAAAAAAAAAUUCAAUUCUCGGAUGAUAAAUUUGUUAAGUAGUCUUGAAGUGUCAUGCUAGAAUGAUUUACCUUAACUGCUUCUAGAAGCUUGGGGUCAUCAUGGAGGAAUUUGAGAAUCCAUGUUAUAAAACUGGCUGUAGUGUCCUGUGCAGCAAAAAGUAUCCCAAUGAUGUUAUCAGCAAUUUGAUCUUCAGUCAAAGUUUCCCCCUUUUCAUCUUUGAAGUUCAACAGAUGGCCCAAAAGAUCCUUUUCUACCAGCCUUUUCUCCUUUCUCUCACGAAUUAUUUCACUUAGAAUCUGAUUCAGCCUUUUCCUUGCCUUUGAAUAAGGGGAAAAAAACAAAAAAGUUAAUAAAUCAGACUUGCAUCCAUGUGAUCACAUACAUACAUACAUACAUACAUGAACAUACGUUUCUAUGAUAAGGAGAAAUGACAUGUUCUUACCUGGAGUGCUUUGUGAUGUGCACUCCCAGGAAUUUUUGUAGGAAAAGAGUUGUAACCUUUAUCCACUAUCCUGUAGUUCUCCUCCAAUUUCUCUUUGUAGCCUCCAUCUAAGUGACCAAAUAUGGAAAGAAUGCCGACGUCGAAAGAGAACUGUAGAGAGUCAAGGAAAUCCACAUGUUAGAAAAUCAUGAUCCAACACCUAAGUGGAAUUCACAUGACAUUGAAACAUGUCAAAAAGCCAGCUUCAAUAAAAAGAAAAACAAAAUUCUAAAGGGAUUCCAAUGUAGGAAAAGUGAAGAGUACUAUAGGACAACAAAACCAGACAAGUCCUCCAUUAAGUAAUUUAGGUAAGUCAAAGGAGAGAAAGAAAACCCUUUAAACACAUUAGAAACAUGUUUAAAGAUGUGGUCUAAUCAAAUCUUGUCUUUUAAACACAUACAUGUGCAUAUAUUUAUAUACCUUCUUCAUCUCAUAAAAGGUGUUUAUAACUUGUCCAGAGGCAGCCCAUGAGUCCAAGGCAGAAAGAGCUAUGUGUUCAAUAUCAGGAAUUAGCUUCCUGAUGGUAUCAGGUGCUAGUGAGUAUUGAACCAACUUCCUUAGCCGAGUGUGGUAUUCACCCUGGUGAAAGAAGAGCGCCCAAGGGCCA
rnacentral:lncRNA from 1 species